AACGAACGCUGGCGGCGUGCCUAACACAUGCAAGUCGAGCGCGAAAAGGGCAACCUGAGUAGAGCGGCGCACGGGUGCGUAACACGUGGGUAAUCUGCCUUAGAGUCGAGGAUAACCUUCCGAAAGGUUGGCUAAUACUCGGUAAGCUUACGGUGUCUUCGGACGCUGUGGGAAAAGUAGGCCUCUGUUUACAAGCUUACGCUCUGAGAUGCGACCGCGGCCCAUCAGCUAGUUGGCGGUGUAACGGACCACCAAGGCAACGACGGGUAGCUGGUCUGAGAGGACGAUCAGCCACACUGGAACUGAGACACGGUCCAAACUCCUACGGGAGGCAGCAGUGGGGAAUUUUCCACAAUGGGCGAAAGCCUGAUGGAGCAACGCCGCGUGUGUGAUGAAGGUUUUCGGAUCGUAAAGCACUUUCGACUGGGACGAAAAACCUUUGGCUAACAUCCAAGGGCCUGACGGUACCAGGAGAAGAAGCACCGGCUAACUCUGUGCCAGCCGCCGCGGUAAUAC
rnacentral:rRNA from 1 species